rnacentral:rRNA from 1 species
AGUUAAAUUUCUAACUCAWGAUGUCGUAAGGGAAAAUAAUGAUAAUACCUUACUAUUAGUGUCGUCCAAAUCUGGUGCCAGAAGACUCGGUAAGACCAGAGACGCAAACGUUAAUCAUCAUAAUCAGGCGUAAAGGGUUUGUAGGCAGCCUCCAUCCCCCCUCCCCCCUCGCAUCCCCCCCCGACCGCUAGCCCCCCAGAGGGCUCGUAGCCGGGGGGAGCGGUCGGGGGGGGAGGGGGAGCCGGAGAGCUAGAAUCAAAAAGAGGUUAUAGUGUAUAACGCCUAGAGGAGGGCUGAUAUCCAUAGAUUCUAGGCAGAAUACUCAGGGCGAAGGCCACUCUCCACUAAUGAUUGACGCUGAGAAACGAAGGUUAGGAUAGGAAAUAGGAUUAGAUACCCCGGUACUCCUUUCUGUAAACGAUGAAUGGUAGUCAUUAGUUUUUUAACUAGAGACGAAGUUAACACAAUAACCAUUCCGCCUUGUGAGUACUACUGCAAAGUAGAAAACAAAAAAAUU